AAGCUGGCUGCCCUGAGGCCGUGACGCUUAGAGACCAUGCAGUGAGACCGCUAAAAGAUAGAGGGAGGUGCCUGAGGAGCCCCAGCUCUCAGCCUCUAGAUGGUCUUUGAUCCCCACUGACGCCAUGUGAGCAGAGACGAGCCACCCAAGUGCAGAUUCAUGAGCUACAUAAGUGGUGGUUGUCGUUGUAUGCUGCGUUUUGGGGUGGAUUGAUACGCGCCAUUAGCUUUAGUUUUUGAUGCCCCUGGACAGAGGCCUCCCUCUUCUUACCACUGCGAGCAACUUAACCUAAAGUGGUUGGCCCAGGGCACCAAACAGGGCUGUGCAGGGAGACUGUGCAGGGAACUGUGCUGGGUCAUGACCUCACUGAAGUGUCCGGGCUGGACUUUGAACCCGGGUCUGUAGGAUCCUGCGUUUGGUCCUGGCAGGCGGCAGAGGAAGGCACGCAAGCCAGUGGGGCCCAAGUGACUCAGAGCUGGCAGGUCCCCUGGCCCGCCCUUUCCUACUGACUCAGCCCAGGCAAUUCCGCGGGCUUUUCUGUGGAAUUCAGGGCCCCCAGGCAGCGUUCCUGAGUGGCUGCCUUCUCCUGGAUGCACUCCCUGGAGAGCUGGCAGGCGGCUCGUGUUCCCAUGGCAGUCUCUGCUGUGUCCCUCAGCCCAGCCCUGGACCUCCUGAAUGGGACCCCUCAGCCCAGCCCAGCUCCCAGCUCCCAGCCCCUGGGAGCCCAAGUUCAGACAGGCACAAAUCUCUCUGUAAUUGAUCUGAACUGGGAUGAGGGUGAGUCGCCUUUCUGCUCCGCUGCUGCCGAGGCUGCUGAGGGUAGUCAUGGGGGAAAGAGAAGGGGGGACAAGGCCACCCAUUCUCCUCCUGACCCCUGUGGAGUCUCUAGCUCAAUCACGUGAUGCUGGAGGGUGGUUCCUGCAGGCCAUUCCUUCCUCUGCCUCAGGGUGCCCAGCUGUUCCUGCUUUGGGGAACCCAGGGCUCACCCAGGCCACCAAAGCCUCGGGCCUCAGUUGCCCCGAUUUCUGUAAAAUGGUAGUCUUAUUUCCCCAGUGUCAUUCAGAUAUAAUUGAUAUACAAUGUUGCAUUAGUUGAAGGUGUACAGCACAAUGAUUUGAUACAUGUAUAUAUUGUGAAUGAUUACCGCAAUAUGUUUAGUAAACAUCCAUCUCCUCACAUAGCUACAAAUUGUUUUCUUCUUGCCAUGAGAACUUUAAAGAUCUACUCUCUCAGCAACUUUCAACUAUACAAUACAGUAUUGUUAACUGUA